rnacentral:rRNA from 1 species
UUUUUACAAUGAAGAGUUUGAUCCUGGCUCAGGAUGAACGCUAGCGGCAGGCUUAACACAUGCAAGUCGAGGGGCAGCACGGGUAGCAAUACUUGGUGGCGACCGGCGCAAGGGUGCGUAACGCGUGAGCAACAUGCCCGUAUCAGGGGGAUAAUCCAGGGAAACUUGGUCUAAUACCCCAUAGUAAUCUUUUAAGGCAUCUUUUAGGAUUUAAAGCUUCGGUGGAUACGGAUUGGCUCGCGUGACAUUAGUUAGAUGGUAAGGUAAUGGCUUACCAUGACUAUGAUGUCUAGGGGUUCUGAGAGGAAGGUCCCCCACACUGGAACUGAGACACGGUCCAGACUCCUACGGGAGGCAGCAGUGAGGAAUAUUGGACAAUGGAUGGAAAUCUGAUCCAGCCAUGCCGCGUGCAGGAUGAAGGUCCUAUGGAUUGUAAACUGCUUUUGUAUGGGAGCAAUAAGGUCUUCGUGAAGGCCGAUGAGAGUACCAUACGAAUAAGCACCGGCUAACUCCGUGCCAGCAGCCGCGGUAAUACGGAGGGUGCAAGCGUUAUCCGGAUUUAUUGGGUUUAAAGGGUGCGUAGGCGGUGAUAUAAGUCAGCGGUGAAAGUUUUCAGCUCAACUGGAAAAAUGCCGUUGAUACUGUAUCGCUGGAAUAUGGUUGCUGUGAGUGGAAUGUGUAGUGUAGCGGUGAAAUGCUUAGAGAUUACACAGAAUAUCGAUUGCGAAGGCAGCUCACAAAGCCAUUAUUGAC